UGACAGUUCUGUAGAUAGUGUAAAUUUUACAUUUAUGAGCUCUGGUGACAGUGUCUGAAGUGUGUGUGUAUGUGGCUGUGUUAGAGAGAGAGAGAGAGAGAGAGAGAGAGAGAGAGAGAGAGAGAGAGAGAGAGUGUCAUGUGUUUCUUGGGGGUUUGUGAAAUAAUUGAACUAUUUAUUGGCUACGUUGUUGAGAAAAACAUUGUGAUGUGUAAAACAUUUCUACAGUCCUUCAAGGCUGUAUGAUGUCGUUGUUCUCUUUUACUGAAAGAAAGGUCAAAACCAUCUGUGUUAUUCGUUGUGGAGACUGAAGUGACAAUAUGUCUGAAGAAAAUGAAAAUAUGUAUUACAUUUCCUACCUUCUAACCAGGUUAUUUUAAGGGUGAAAAAACCUUUUUCAAAGACGGUGUUUUAAAAGAAUCGUGCAUUUUGUUUAAACUAUAAACAAGAUUUCAGAAAAUAGUUCGCCAACGAGGAUACUUACACAGAACUGUCGCUAAAUACAUAAGCUUUUGUCUAUGCUUUGACAUCCCAUGUCCCAGCAGUACAUUUAUGACCUCUGGUGACCAUGUGGGUGUGCGGGGAGAGAGAGAGAGAGAGAGAGAGAGAGACACAGGUGUUCUUUUGGGGUUUUGCUGACCAGAAUUCUUACAAAUGUGUUUGUUAACGAAUUAAAGGGAGUCGUGUGUCUCAGUGUUAAAACAAUGAUUAAGACGUUGUAGUUAAAACACAGAAGAAACUCUACAACUAUCUGUUACAAUGUCUGCUCCGAGAAAUCCUAAUACCCUUAGAAGAUUGCUGUGUAUUCACCAACAAGAGGACCUGUUGAAAUGAGAGAGGAUCUGACUUUUGCUCCAAAAAACAACAAAACCAAGAGGUUAGUUUGACAAUUUAUUAAUGAAGGUAAUGUAAAGACGUUGUUGUUUAACCCUGAGCAGGGCGUCAACAACUCCAAGGAUCGUGUCUUAAGUCCGAGGGUUUAGUUAGGAGGUUGAGAAACAUUUAAAGAUGGUGUUUUAAAAGAAUCAAGUGUUUCAUCAUUAAUGGUAAAAAAGAAAAAUGGUUGUACUCCAAUAUGAAAUAAAACGGUGGAGACACACUGAGUACAUUUCUGUUCCACAGUCUAUAAGGAUCCCCAAACUUAAUG
ensembl:lncRNA